rnacentral:rRNA from 1 species
CCACACGACUCUCGGCAACGGAUAUCUCGGCUCUCGCAUCGAUGAAGAACGUAGCGAAAUGCGAUACYUGGUGUGAAUUGCAGAAUCCCGCGAACCAUCGAGUCUUUGAACGCAAGUUGCGCCCGAGGCCACCCGGCCGAGGGCACGCCUGCNUGGGCGUCACGC